UGGGGAAUAUUGGACAAUGGGCGAAAGCCUGAUCCAGCCAUGCCGCGUGUGUGAAGAAGGUCUUCGGAUUGUAAAGCACUUUAAGUUGGGAGGAAGGGCAGUAAGCGAAUACCUUGCUGUUUUGACGUUACCGACAGAAUAAGCACCGGCUAACUCUGUGCCAGCAGCCGCGGUAAUACAGAGGGUGCAAGCGUUAAUCGGAAUUACUGGGCGUAAAGCGGGCGUAGGUGGUUCGUUAAGUUGAAUGUGAAAGCCCCGGGCUCAACCUGGGAACUGCAUCCAAAACUGGCGAGCUAGAGUAGGGCAGAGGGUGGUGGAAUUUCCUGUGUAGCGGUGAAAUGCGUAGAUAUAGGAAGGAACACCAGUGGCGAAGGCGACCACCUGGGCUCAUACUGACACUGAGGUGCGAAGGCGUGGGGAGCAAACAGG
rnacentral:rRNA from 1 species